rnacentral:misc_RNA from 1 species
CUUUGAGUUGUGGGUGGUUCUUGAUUUUGGAAACUGGAGAGUUUCGGUUUCUUGGGAUUCUGGGUCUUUACGUUCUUGUUGUUGAUUUUCUUGGAUGAAGGCCAUGCCCCUGACCCUUUGAGGAUUUUCAAGGGACGGGGGUGUUAGAUUUCUCUUCUUCUUCUUCUCCAGAUUCUCUCUCUCAACUACCACCACAAAAUCAACCGCACCAGCAACAGAAGUGGCAAAACAGCAACACCAAAGAAAAUUGCUGCUAUGUGGGCAGUGAGCCCACAUCUGUGCUUGACGCUAGAAGAAGCCCGAGCCCUCCAACAUCCUCUUCAACACUGUCUUCUUCACAAGGCGGCAGUAACGGCGGUGGCGGUGCCUCCACCGAAAACACCACCAGCGCGGCAGCGGCGGUUUCCGGCUAUCCCUCUGUAGAUACAACAACGGAAAAAUGUGGGCAGCG